UGAGGAAUAUUGGGCAAUGGAGGGAACUCUGACCCAGCCAUGCCGCGUGAGUGAAGAAGGUUUUCGGAUUGUAAAGCUCUUUCGGACGGGAAGAUAAUGACGGUACCGUCUAAAGAAGCACCGGCUAACUUCGUGCCAGCAGCCGCGGUAAUACGAAGGGUGCAAGCGUUGUUCGGAAUUACUGGGCGUAAAGGGUGUGUAGGCGGCCAUUCAAGAUAGCGGUGAAAUCCCGGAGCUCAACUUCGGAAUUGCCAUUAUAACUGAGUGGCUAGAGUGACAGAGAGGAUAUUGGAAUACCCAGUGUAGAGGUGAAAUUCGUAGAUAUUGGGUAGAACACCGGAGGCGAAGGCGAGUAUCUGGCUGUAAACUGACGCUGAGGCACGAAAGCAUGGGGAUCAAACAGGAUUAGAUACCCUGGUAGU
rnacentral:rRNA from 1 species